rnacentral:lncRNA from 1 species
ACAGCACAUACUUCACAAAUAGCAUCUCAUUUUAUCUUCACAUCAACCCUAGGAGAUAGGUAUUAUUUUCUCUAUGACGACGUGGACUUGGAAGCUUUGGUAAAUGACAUGAACUCCUCAUUUGAAAGUUUGUAUUCUACAUGUAGCAUGCAGUCAGAAACUGCCCCCCUCCUUCAAAAUGGUCAACAUAACCGUAGCCAGUUGCCAACCUCAGGAACAAGUGCCCUCCAGCAGCAAGCGUCCCCAAAACAGAAAGUUCAGCGCUCUCAACCCAUGCACAUUCUAGCAGUCAGACGCCUUCAGGAAGAAGACCAACAAUUUAGAACCUCGUCUCUGCCCGCCAUACCAAAUCCAUUUCCUGAGCUUUGCAGCCCCACUAAUUCUCCUGUUCUCACAACAAGCUCUUUACCUCAGAAUCAACCAGCCAGCAAGCAGGUGAGUAAUUUUUGUACAUCAAUGUGUAUAAAGUGCUUUGCCAAUCUUAAAGCACCAUGUAAAUAUCAACUGUUAUAUUACUAUUGUCGUUGUCUACCAUUAUUUUCUAGGUGCUUAGAAGACCAUGAGCUGGUGGUCCAAGUGGAAAGCACAAUGGGAGGUGAAAGUAAAUUUUUAUUCAGGAAGAAUUAUGCAAAAUAUGAGUUUUUCAAAAAUCCCAUGAAUUUCUUCCCAGAACAGAUGGUGGCUUGGUGUCAGCAAUCAAAUGGCAGUAUUCCCCAAACUCAGCUUUUGCAGAAUUUUUUAAACUCCAGCAGUUGUCCUGAAAUUCAAGGUUUUUUACAUGUGAAAGAGCUAGGCAGGAAGUCCUGGAAAAAAUUAUAUGUCUAUUUGCGAAGAUCAGGACUUUAUUGCUCCACAAAAGGAACUUCAAAGGAGCCAAGGCAUCUGCAGUUACUGGCUGACCUGGAAGACAGCAAUAUCUUUUCUCUGAUAGCAGGCAGGAAACAGUAUAAUGCCCCUACAGACUAUGGGUUUUGUAUAAAGCCAAACAAAUUAAGGAAUGAGACAAAAGACCUCAGGUUACUGUGUGCUGAAGAUGAACAGAGCAGAACGUGUUGGAUGACGGCUUUUAGGCUCCUCAAGUAUGGCAUGCUCCUUUAUCAGAAUUACAGAAUUCCACAGCAGAGGAAAGCCUGGCUUUCCCACUUCUCAACCCCCGUGCGCAGUGUGUCUGAGAACUCUCUCGUAGCAAUGGACUUUUCCGGUCAAACAGGAAGAGUGAUUGAGAACCCUGCUGAAGCUCAAAGCGCAGCCUUGGAAGAGGGCCAUGCGUGGAGGAAACGAAGCACAAGGAUGAAUGUCUUAGGUAGCCAAAGUCCCCUCCACCCUUCUACGCUAAGCACAGUGAUCCAUAGGACCCAAAACUGGUUUCAUGGAAGGAUUUCUCGGGAAGAAUCCCAUAGGAUUAUUAAACAGCAGGGGCUUGUGGAUGGGCUCUUCCUCCUUCGUGACAGCCAGAGUAAUCCAAAGGCAUUUGUACUCACACUGUGCCAUCACCAGAAAAUCAAAAAUUUCCAGAUAUUACCUUGUGAGGACGAGGGACAAAUGUUCUUCAGCCUUGAUGAUGGAAAUACCAAAUUCACCGAUCUGAUCCAACUUGUUGAGUUCUACCAGCUAAACAAAGGAGUUUUGCCUUGCAAACUCAAACAUCACUGUAUCAGAGUGGCCUUAUGACCUUGAAUUUGGCUCUUGGUUGAAGACUGGAUUUGCUAGAAGAAUAACUAAGAGAAAGUUAACACUGGAAUGGAUGAGCAGGUCUGUAAAUUGGUUUAAAAGUUAUGUUCUGCACCUCAAGACUCUCAAAGGGAUGGAUUCAGUGGGUGCCAACAGACCAAGAUCCUCCUGGUUUGUCCAACACCUAAGAAUGAUCUGCUGCUGAGUAUCCCAGCACACCUUCCUCCCCUUGCCAAAUAAAGGAAGGCAUGUAGAAUUGUGUGCA